UCAACAGCUCGUAAUGCUUUGUAUUCUGGAAAGAAAGGGAAGAGGAAGGAAUCAACACAUGAAGUCAUAGAAUGGUUUGGGUUGGAAGGGACUUAAAGCCCAUGUUGUUUCAGCCCUGUGCCAUGGGCAGGGACACCUUCCACUAGAGCAGGUUGCUCCAAGCCCCAUCCAGCCUGGCCUUGAAUACUGGUUUGGAGCAGGCACAGCUUCUCUGGAGCCUGUGCCAGGGGCCUCACCAGCCUCACAGGGAAACAUUUCUUCCUAAUAUCCAAUCUAACCCCACCCUCUGUUAGUCAGAAGUGCUUCUGCCCAUACACACCUCUUUGGAACACUGAAACACAACCCCUUCUACUUGUUGCCAGUAAUGGUCAAGUAAGAGGUGGUAAAUAUCCUCCAGCUUCAGAGACCACAAACCUGAGCCCCCUGCUCACAGAACAACCAACCCUCCUGCAGGAGCUGCCUUCUGGCAGAGGAGGGCCCAAGCAAAGUGGGUUUUACCUACUGCACUUGAACCAACACAUCUUUUGGGAACAGGAUAUUCAAGCUGAUGCUCUCAACAGCCAGCAUUUUACAGGCACACCUGAGGGAAACUUGGCUCGAGAUCUGUGCCUAGCAGGAAGAGAUGAGCUUUGGAAAGCAGGCACAAGAUGGCAAGAGGGAUGCCACGUGCUGCAGCAGCCUCAGGACAGAGGCAGUCUGGGAUUCUCAGGCCUUGUGCAGGCUGAAAUGCCAGCAGACAUUACCGUGACACGCAGCGUUACACAAGCGGCGUCACGCUCAGCUGAGCUUCGUGCAGGAUGUUGACAGAGAAUAUUUCAGGUUAGCUCACAGAAAUCAUCUGAGAGCUCAAGACCUCGUCCCUCAGGGACUACAAGGCUUUAAUCAAGUUACAAAAACCCCACAUGCACAUGGGAGUAGGUUUGGAAGUAACCUGCUCAACUGCAGAAGGAGAACCUGCAGAGAGAGCUCCAGGAAUGGGAAUUCUCCUCUCCAGAGUGACCGCAGCCAUGGAAGGGUCACAGCUUGCAGGGUACUGAAGGAAUGGCCAGAGCUGGCUGUGGGUUAAUCCUGGAUCCUGCUUCUGGAGCUGGUUGACAAAUAGUGAUAUGAAAGACUUGAUCUUGCUUCAAAGACUGUUUCCAUGCUAAGAGACAUCUCCAGCAGUGCUGUUACUGGCAGGCCUGCUGGUCUGUUUACUUCAAGAACAAACUAAUCUCUGAGCUGUAGCAAAGAAGAAACUGUAGGUUUCUGUUUAUGCUGUGAGCUUAACUGAAGUUUUAGCUAAAUAAAUAAUUUAUAGAGAA